GCCUGGGUGGCUCAGUGGUUGAGCACCUGCCUUCGGCUCAGGGAGUGAUCAUGGGGUCCUGGGAUCGAGUCCCACAUUAGGCU
rnacentral:tRNA from 1 species